CAGCCGCCGCGGUAAUACGUAGGGUGCAAGCGUUAAUCGGAAUUACUGGGCGUAAAGCGUGCGCAGGCGGUUUGUUAAGACAGAUGUGAAAUCCCCGGGCUCAACCUGGGAACUGCAUUUGUGACUGGCAAGCUAGAGUCUGGCAGAGGGGGGUGGAAUUCCGCGUGUAGCAGUGAAAUGCGUAGAUAUGCGGAGGAACACCGAUGGCGAAGGCAGCCCCCUGGGCCAACACUGACGCUCAUGCACGAAAGCGUGGGGAGCAAACAGGAUUAGAGACCCCUGUAGUCCCUGUCUCUUAUAC
rnacentral:rRNA from 1 species